UUUUUAUAUCUCACUUAGAUGGGCUCCCGGACUCACUUCAGGACAACUUAGGGGUUGUUAGAUUAUAUUGUUAAUAUGGCUUACUUCACUUUUGUCUAUUUGUUUGGUUUUGGUUUUUCCGAGAGCGGGUCCAGGAACUCUCUCCAGGCUGGCCCUGAAUUCAGAGAUCUGCCUGACUCUGCCGCCGGAGCGCAGAGAUUAAAGGCAGCACAUUUAAUCCACCACCUGUUGAUUGUUUUUUGUUUUGUUACUUAUUUUACUUUUUUAUAUUUUAAGUUUUUUUCAAAAAUAUUUUAUUGUGAGGGCUAGGGUGAUGGCUCAGCAAUUAAGAGCACUGGCUGAUCUAUAGAGGACCAAGAUUUGAAGCCCAGCACCCACAUGGUGGUUCACAACUUUAACUCAAGAGAUCCGAUGCCCGCUUCUGGCCUCUGCAGAUACCAGGUGUGCAGGUGGUGCACAGACAUGUAUGCAGGCAAAACGCCAUACACACGUAAAAAUAAUAUAAUAAUAACAGUACUUUAAAAGUAGACUCUUCUAGUUUUGCAGCUCCUAUGGGUCACAGGUGUUGCUUGCUGUUACUGGACCUUUGGCAUGCCUGGCCAGCCCUCUGCUGCUGAUUAAUUUUCCCAUCUUUCGGCUGGACAGCAAGAUGGAAGAAAGAACCCAAGAAGACAAGCAGUGAAGCAGAGAAGGAGCAGGACCAAGGCUCCCGAGUUCCUCAGCUCAGCUGCGGAGACCUUCCCUUAAGAGCUCCACCACCUCUGCUGAGGCUUCCUUUCAGAGCUAUGUGGUUCCUGGCCCCAAAUGUCCCAGGAUACCCUUCACUGGGGCACUGUCCCGCCUCGGAGUUCUGGUGUCCCUGGACUUCCAUCCAAACAGACACUUACACUGCCCAUCGGCUUUCUUGGUCACUCCCCAUCCGUUUCUUUCACUGUUAGUUGCUCCUUUCCAUUUUUCAGUGUGUGGAGGUUAGAGGGCAGCUCGCAGGGCCAGUUUUCUCUAACUUGAAUGAGUUUUGGCGAUCACACUUGGGUUGUCAGGCUUGGCAGCAAGUACGUUAACUUGCUGAGCCCCAUUUCUGUUUCCCACACUCCUUCUGAAUGGAAAGGAGUGGACUAUUGCACUGAUCACAGAGGCCGUUUGUGUGCUUCCCAAGGUUGGGACCCACAUGAGAUUACUUAUGGGGGAGUCUUUCAUCUUUAACAAUUGUUUUCAAUAAUAUUAUUGAUUUUUUAAGACAGGGUUUCUCUGUGUAGCCCUGGCUGUCAUGAAAUCUCAUCUGUAGACAUGGCUGGUCUCAAACUCACAGAGAUAUACCUGGUUCUGCCUCCCAAGUGCUGGGCUAGAGCCCACACUGGGCUAUCCUAUAUACCUGAGCACUGUCCCCACCCCCAUCCUCCCGUCACCUGCCCUCAGUCCCCACCCUGGCACCCCAAGGGCCCACAGAGCCCCUGCAAUCCCUCUGUCUUUCAGCCAACAGCACUUGAGAAGGACCGUCACAGCAUCACCACCUUCAUUUGGAAUUGUUUAAUGAGUCUACAUACCACAUAAUUAUAAAAGAAUAAGAAUUGACAAAAAUAUUUUCUUUCCAUAAUA